CAAUUUGUACAUCUCUGCUUGUUCUUCCAUGAUGUCGACACGUCAGCAUAGGCCAGAAGUUAGGUGGAUUUGAAGACGAUGGUAGUAACCUAUUGCUUCCACAAAUUGUUAAUAUCAUACUGGACGAAAUACAGUUUUUGCAGAACUGCUACUUCUAUUGAUUUGAGAGUCCUGGGAAUCUAAAAUGUGUACUAGGGUGGACAGGAACGAGAUGAUCAUGAAGAUCGCAAAGUAAAACAAUUAUCGUGAAUGUGAUAAUAAAAGGAGUAUUCGCGUGCUUACUUCGCUUUCAAAGUCAAUCAUUCUGGUGUGGAUUUAUGUUUUCGAUCGUGUUUUCAAUAUGAUGUGCACGAUGCGCAGCAAAAAAUGAUUCAAGUGGUGAUUUAAAUCGAGCAGUGUUUCAAUACGAUUGGAAAAUUUGUGAAAUUGUCUUAACAGUCGUCACCUGAUCUAGUGCAUUCAUUGAAACAUCCGAAUCACGACACGUUUAAUUGAAAUGCAGAGAAUGCUUUCAAAUCACAUCAUUUAUAGCAGAUAUUACCGUAGAACGUAGAUUCAAUCCCAUAUUAAAGAUUCACUAUCAUAACACCUAAUGUCGUGCAAGUGAUAAGCUCAGAGUAGCGAGACGCAACAAACAUCGAUGAAGACUGGGUUUCGAAACGAAGGCAACGAGACUGAGAAGCUAGCGCUCUAUCACCACAACCAUUACGUCGUCUUUUGGUGAUCGUAAAUUUGUAAUUUUGACUUCGCCUUCGAUUAACCGAUCACUAUCGAAUUGGAUCUUUGCAGCCGCUUUAAGAAGUAUAGCAUAAAUUCAUCCCAAUUUUAAGAGCAAUAUGGAGGACAUCCUUGAUCCGCACCAAAUGAUCAAUAGGGCAAUUCUUUAAGAACUGCAGCAACUAUUUCAUGAAAAUCAGCACCAAGUGGUUUGGUUGUUCAUUGUUUCUGAGGCGGUACAGAGUUUGCCGCUAAUAAUAAAUAUAAACAAAAUUUGCGACCAAAAUCAUUUCUUUUCUGUACCGAAAGAUGAAAGAGAAUUGAAAUCACUUGUGUUGUCAGCUCUUUUAUACAGGUUGUAUAAAGACUUUCAAUGUUUUAUACUGGUAACGGUUGAUAUAACAGAGUUAGACCAACAGU